UACGGAGGAUGCAAGCGUUAUCCGGAAUGAUUGGGCGUAAAGCGUCCGCAGGUGGCUUUGUAAGUCUGCUGUUAAAGAGUGAGGCUCAACCUCAUAAGAGCAGUGGAAACUACAAGGCUGGAGUACGUUCGGGGCAGAGGGAAUUCCUGGUGUAGCGGUGAAAUGCGUAGAGAUCAGGAAGAACACCGGUGGCGAAAGCGCUCUGCUAGGCCGCAACUGACACUGAGGGACGAAAGCUAGGGGAGCGAAUGGG
rnacentral:rRNA from 1 species